rnacentral:rRNA from 1 species
CCUACGGGAGGCUGCAGUAGGGAAUCUUCCACAAUGGGCGAAAGCCUGAUGGAGCAACGCCGCGUGGGUGAAGAAGGUCUUCGGAUCGUAAAACCCUGUUGUGAGAGAAGAAAGUGCGUGAGAGUAACUGUUCACGUUUCGACGGUAUCUAACCAGAAAGCCACGGCUAACUACGUGCCAGCAGCCGCGGUAAUACGUAGGUGGCAAGCGUUAUCCGGAUGUAGUGGGCGUAAAGGGAACGCAGGCGGUCUUGUAAGUCUGAUGUGAAAGGUUUCGGCUUAACAGGAGGAGUGCAUUGGACACUGGGAGACUUGAGUGCAGAAGAGGAGAGUGGAACUCCAGGUGUAGCGGUGAAAUGCGUAGAUAUAUGGAAGAACACCAGUGGCGAAAGCGGCUCUCUGGACUGUAACUGACGCUGAGGUUCGAAAGCGUGGGUAGCAAACAGGAUUAGAUACCCUUGUAGUC